rnacentral:rRNA from 1 species
UACCAGCACCCCGAGUGGUCGGGACGAUUAUUGGGCCUAAAGCAUCCGUAGCCGGUUCUACAAGUCUUCCGUUAAAUCCACCUGCUUAACAGAUGGGCUGCGGAGGAUACUAUAGAGCUAGGAGGCGGGAGAGGCAAGCGGUACUUAGUGGGUAGGGGUAAAAUCCGUUGAUCCAUUGAAGACCACCAGUGGCGAAGGCGGCUUGCCAGAACGCACUCGACGGUGAGGGAUGAAAGCUAGGGGAGCAAACGGG